rnacentral:rRNA from 1 species
AUUGAACGCUGGCGGCAGGCCUAACACAUGCAAGUCGAACGGUAACAGGAAACAGCUUGCUGUUUCGCUGACGAGUGGCGGACGGGUGAGUAAUGUCUGGGAAACUGCCUGAUGGAGGGGGAUAACUACUGGAAACGGUAGCUAAUACCGCAUAACGUCGCAAGACCAAAGAGGGGGACCUUCGGGCCUCUUGCCAUCGGCUGUGCCCAGAUGGGAUUAGCUAGGAGGUGGGGUAACGGCUCCCCUAGGCGACGAUCCCUAGCUGGUCUGAGAGGAUGACCAGACACACUGGAACUGAGACACGGUCCAGACUCCUACGGGAGGCAGCAGUGGGGAAUAUUGCACAAUGGGCGCAAGCCUGAUGCAGCCAUGUCGCGUGUAUGAAGAAGGCCUUCGGGUUGUAAAGUACUUUCAGCGGGGAGGAAGGGAGUAAAGUUAAUACCUUUGCUCAUUGACGUUACCCGCAGAAGAAGCACCGGCUAACUCCGUGCCAGCCGCCGCGGUAA